GUCUGAGGAGAGGUGUCUUAUGAUGCACGUGACGUCUUCGUUUUUAUAUUUUUCUUCUGGGAUGAAUAGCUAUUGCCCGGUUGUAAAAUUAUCGCAAUUUUACGUUAAAAAAUACCCUAAAGGAUUGAUUGUAAACAUCGUUUGACGUGUUUCUACAAACGGUAAUGGAACUUUGAACAUUUCGUCUAUGGAUUUGCAUCCACGCCACAUGGCAUUGUAAAGUGUUCUGGAUGGGUCAACAAAACGGACGUAUUUGGACAUAAAUGAUGGACUUUGCAGAACAAAUGAACAUUUCUUGUGGAAGUGGGUGCCCAUCCGAGUGCAUUCCGCCGAAGAUCAGCAAAGGAGUGUCAUCUGAUGAAGAUUGUCAAAGGGGAGAUGGUCGGAUUCGCGUUUAUCGUCGAAGGAAUGAGCGUUACACGGAGGCCUGUACUCUGGAGCGGGAUCGAUUUGGAGGUGGA
rnacentral:lncRNA from 1 species